rnacentral:rRNA from 1 species
UACGUAGGGUGCGAGCGUUGUCCGGAAUUAUUGGGCGUAAAGAGCUCGUAGGUGGUUUGUCGCGUUGUUCGUGAAAACUCACAGCUCAACUGUGGGCGUGCGGGCGAUACGGGCAGACUGGAGUACUGCAGGGGAGACUGGAAUUCCUGGUGUAGCGGUGGAAUGCGCAGAUAUCGGGAGGAACACCAGUGGCGAAGGCGACUACCUGGCCUGUUCUUGACGCUGAGGCGCGAAAGCUAGGGGAGCAAACGGG